rnacentral:lncRNA from 1 species
CGGCAGCAGUGGGAGCGGGCAGCGCGACUCGGAGUCCAGGUCGAGCUCGGGAUGACUCGGAGAGGUGCCGACGGAGGCGGGGCGAAACAGGCUAUAGGCUCGGGCCGUGGCAAUGGCAAGCCACGACGGUGGAUGCAGGCGCGGGCGCGCGAAUCCGUGUCUGUAUCUUCUCCUGCGUUUGUGGCUUCCUCCCUUCUUUAAAUCUCUUCCCUUUUAAUUGAUCUGUUGAUAGGUGAGCUGAUGUGUACUAGAUGUAGUAUUCCGUAGAUGGAUUUCUGCCAUAGAAAAUUUGUACUAGUUGGUGUCGGUCGUCUUUGUAGAAUCGUGCGUGAUCAACCCCUUCAAGUCGUCACAUGGUUGCGAUGGCCUCACACCUAAGUUCUCUUACGAGGACAUCUGCCGUGACAAAACCACGACAGUUGGCGCGCCGAAUGCACGGUGGUAUUGCGUUCUUGGAGGGAAUUUUUCAGGGAUCGAGAAGCUCACGAUCUGACAGAUGAAGGUGAGACGAUGCAGAAGUCGUAACAGCGUGUUCAAGAUUGAGAUGCAUGAGGUGUGUUCUUGAAGAUUUUAGGGUUUCGUGAUGCAUGUGCCGUGAUAAUCCGUCAAGUCCGAUACAAGAGUAUAUGGCGGUAGUUUUUUGACUAUCCGUCAAUCACAGACUGCAUCAAGGCGUACAGGAAACUUUGCGGCACUCGUUUCUUUUUAAUCCGUUUUGUUACUGGCAUAAUUCCGCGCCUACGCGUCUCCUUAGAGUCACGAGGAAAGAAAAGAUGGAUUGAUCCAGCUAGCAGUACAAAGUGAAUACGCAUCACAUGAGGCAGCUUGCAGUUUUCUUCUACAUGCAUGUUCAUCGGAUGAAAUACACAACAAGGCGAGUUGACUGUCGGAGCAGGAGGGCCUCGUCUCAUCAUCUCCGCGUUUGCAAAACCGAGUUGCAACACGGCGUCCUCAGUUCCGCGGAAUUCACAUCACUAUCCGCAGCACACGCCUCCCCUGUUGCUGGUGUUUUCGCGUUUGGAUUCACGCAUGAUUCUGACCAACCCCUUUAAGCCGUCACAUGGUUGCGAUGGUCUCACACCUAAGUUCUCUCACGAGGACAUCUGCCGUGACAAAACCACGACACACACUUAGCCCAAAAUAGAAGGUCAUCAUCUUGGAUCUAUCUUUGC